CGGACCGGCGCACGGGUGAGUAACACGUAUCCAACCUGCCGAUAACUCGGGGAUAGCCUUUCGAAAGAAAGAUUAAUAUCCGAUAGCAUAUCAAUCCUGCAUGAGAUUGAUAUUAAAGAAUUUCGGUUAUCGAUGGGGAUGCGUUCCAUUAGUUUGUUGGCGGGGUAACGGCCCACCAAGACUACGAUGGAUAGGGGUUCUGAGAGGAAGGUCCCCCACAUUGGAACUGAGACACGGUCCAA
rnacentral:rRNA from 1 species